rnacentral:rRNA from 1 species
UCUACGGGACGCAGCAGUGAGGAAUAUUGGUCAAUGGUCGGAAGACUGAACCAGCCAAGUAGCGUGAAGGAUGAAGGUUCUAUGGAUUGUAAACUUCUUUUAUACGGGAAUAAAACACAUCACGUGUGGUGUCUUGUAUGUACCGUAUGAAUAAGCAUCGGCUAACUCCGUGCCAGCAGCCGCGGUAAUA